CACUGAAAAAAAGGGACUGGCCAUCUCUUGGAUUUAUGUAAGCAUCUUGCAUGUAUUUAACACAAUUGCCUCAUGUUUUAAAGUUAAAUGUAACUAUAUAGUGUAAAAACUACAUGAUAUGCAGAAAGGGUGUAUUAAAUUGUUCAUAUCAUGUUCAGGUGAAGUAAGUUAAUAAGAUAGCAACGUUAAAUCUCGUGAAACCACGCGUGAUUUCAUCUCGCGGGCUUUGGAUCGUGGUUUAAAAAAGGCAUCCAUCUCAGUCAAGUCGAGUAGCCAACUCUACGUUUUUGGUAUGUCUUGAUUUUUUGAAUUAAUUUUUACCAUAUUUCAGCCAAAUGUAGUUAAACGUCUAGAGUGUCGCCAUGUAACAUGCUAAAAAAGAGCCGUUAGCUUAUUUGCUGUUUUAUCUGUUGUCAAAGAAUUGGCGCUUUUUCAUUUGAAUUUAUGACCUCUAUUCUGCAUUUCACCAGGAGUCAGCUGAUGGAUUGUGGGUUCAAGGUGUUAUGAUAAAAUGCAGCAUUCCAGUGCAUCCCAACCAUGC
ensembl:lncRNA